CGCCGCCACCACUGUGGCUGCUGUGGUAUCGGAGCCUGUCGAAGAGGGUCUUGGGCACUCGUUUACCUACGUCGAUUACACAAGGCAAGAAAGAAAGAGUGAGUCGAGGAAUAGAAUCGCAUCGAGGAAUGUAGGUUAUGGAGAUCACUCCACUGGUCUUGAAGGGAUUGGCUCCACAGGAAUUGAAGAUCGAAGGUAGCCCAUUUGCUUCUCCAAUUGGAGAUUUCUCUGUUCGAGAUCAUACUUGUCAGUCAAAAUAGGAAAAAACCUAGUGGAAGGAGAACCAUAAAUGCACCUUAAAGCCACAAGUGAACUCCAAAAUGCCUUCAUUGAAGCUGAGGGGUGGAUUGAAACCGGACGGUAGAGAGUAGGGAUCAGGAAUAUAGCAUGCCUUGGAGAAGCUGAACAUAGGCGAGCUGGCAGCGUCAUCCAACAGAGAAGAACGCUGUCUCUGCAGCUCUAGUUCGACUCGCCUCUUCUUGGCACCGCCCGUGGCCAAUCCAGCAGCCGGAGUCAAGGCAGAGCAGAGGCAACCGCCACCCUAAAACCAAGUGCUGGAAAGAAGAUAACAGCAGGAAUGCUCGUCCUAUUCCCGAAAUGAGGAGGCCCGGUGGACGCAUCGGAGACCAUGGACAGGUCCUCCUCCUCCUCCUCUUCCUCAAAGGAACCACCUUUGUCACCGGAGGACUGGCCUUAGUAGUCGGUCCAACCUGAUUGGCAUCCGUUGCUGCAAUCUGAGCUAACAUCUUCCUCCUCUCCUUGCAUCAAUGAAUCAAUAUAGGAGAACGAUCUUUUCAUUCUCUUCGUCGAACAAAGGAGUGCCGAAGGCCCUCGUCGACAGUCUCCGACUCCACAGCGACCGCAGCGGCAGCGACGCGAGGGCGGUCGUCGCUGGGUAAUAUAUAUAAUUAACCCCUAUUAUAACACUUAAAUUUAAUUAAAACUUUAUUAUUUCAUUAUAUAAAAUAUUAUAUAAUGAAUAAUGGCCAUGAGAGCCCAAUAAAUCCAUUCGGGAAGGCAUGGGAGAUCACCGGUACUGUCUCCGACCCCGGUUCCGCCCGGCUGCUGUCCCGGCAAAACCCUGCGUCCGGAACUCCGCCCCCUAGACCGUCCUCGAAUAGGCCGACGUCGAGUGCAUCAUGGCGACAAGGACCUUUGGGCCGGAUGACUUCCCGAAGGUGUGCCUUACGACACGCGUGGAGGAGCACAGUAACACCCUCGGAGGCGGCGGGCACCGGAAAUGAAAUAGGUCAGAGGUUUAUUGCAGUUUGUAGCUCUGAUCUCAGAUUAGGUUUCUGUUCCUGUAUUGAUAUCAUCUUGGGCAUUGGACGAGAUAGGGCCGUAGAGAUUCUCUUUUUCUCCUCACUCAAAAAUGGCGCCUUGACAGUCUUGAUUGGUUUGAUUUGUGCAAAUGGUGCGGAGAAAAUCGACUCUACCAAUUGUUGGUUGCAAGACCUAUUUUUAGUUGCUUUGUGCUGAUGAUGUUCUUCAAGUGGAUCGACGAAGAUGUUAUUUGUCAGGAACGAUGAAUUUAAUCGUACUUGAGUAGUCUUUUUAGUGUCUGAGCUAUCUUUCUAUUAAGAAUAUAUUUCUUGUCCAGAUUAGUGUUGGCUAUGAAUUCAGCUAGAACUUUGGGAUUAUGUUGAUAGCCCAUGGCAAAGAUUUGGUGGAAUACCCCACAUUGGUGAGAGCCUCAUGUGCUAUACUCUUUGAAGGCAAUGAUGACUACUUUGUCUUGCAGUCUAUCUUGGAAAUAGGCUUUCCUUUGCCAUUAGUACUCACACUAGUUUGGUCUACUUGUAACUUUGCUGGAGAAAACAAAAUAACUCUUGAAUCUAUUUGUAGUUUCUUCAUACUCCCUGAUUAACUCAUCUCACAUUAAUGUUUAUCCAUGGAAUUGAGGAAAUUUCCUAUUGUUUAAGACACAUGGGUGGUUUGGACACAAAGAAGAAUGAAGAGUGUAAAUGGUUACAGUGAUAAAGUUCAUCACAAACUUUACUUGGUAGAGACCUUGGAAAACUCUGUCCAAGUUUUGCAUCUUAUGACCUUUGGACUAAAGAGCAGAUUUGUUUUUUUUUUUCUUCUUCUUCUUCUUCUUUUAAGAGUAUGUAUUCGAAUGGUUGAUCUAAUUUUUCUGUUGUAGCAGGUCAUAAAGUUGCUGGCUUUCAACUUUGCAGAAAGAAAGUUUCUUCUGUUGGGUGUCUUUCAAGAAGUCCUGACUCUUCCUUUCUCUUUUAAUUUUGGCUACAAUCAGUUCUGGGUCAUGUUUAUCGUUUCCCUUCAGCUUGCUGAUUCAAGCACCAAUAACUGUGCAGUGGAAAAAUAAACCAGAUAUUAUGUUUACUACUAAUCUGGAGUAGGAUUGGCUUGUCCAUUCUCUUAUACUACCCAACUGAUGUAUUUACAAACCAACCUUUCUCAAGAAGAAAAUUCUGUUGAUGUUGUUUACAUAAACAUGUAAGUAUACAUAUUCUUCACCUUGGCGAAGGGAGAAGACAAGGGUCAAACCGUUAAAGCAAGUACUUUGUAGAAGGCUGUGAGCACAUAAUAGCGGGCAGCUACCAUUUAUUUCUAACUGGAGAUGAAGGAUUUCCCAUUGUCAUCCCUAUAUUUAUAGUCAAGCUCAUGAUUAGAGUAGUGAUCUUUUUAAAAAAUCUUAAAUGGACCUGAAAUAUUAGAUAGUGAUGGAUUUAUUGCCUCAAAUUGUGUCAUAGUCUAUCGCAAUGCGGGAACUCUUAUGAUUAUUGGAUCAGCCCAAACUUAAAGCUCAAAGCCCACAAGCACCAAUUUUAGAUUUCAGUGGGAGGGGGAUUACUUCUCAAGGGCAGCAAGAUCUUGACCAAGUUGCUGGAUGUGUCUAAGAUUCAAUUCUGUCAGACUCAAGGUUAAUCAAGGUUGAGUGUAUGCUCUCCUUGCUACUCACAUGGGGGCUGGAAUCAUCUUUAUUCUGUCAGAGCUAUACAACUAUAAUUCCAAGCAAAAAAAUGGUACCUUUAUUCAUGUAUUGCACAUAAAUCCAUGCUAACUAGAUUUUUUUUUUCCCUACAUCUGCUGCUUCAUGCUUGAUCACAUGUUUAUGAUACACCAUAAUCAUGAAUGAAGCAAAACAAUAACUAGGCUGGCACUAAGGACUCAAAUAUACGAGUCGGUGACGAGGGAUUAUAUGAUAAUUACUCCAACAUUUGUGGUUAAGUGCUGAUAGAGUUGACUAUUUAUUUUACAGUAUUAGAAUGUUACAAAACUAAUGCUUCUACUCAGUUUGGUGAGGUUUCAAUUGUUGAGGCUGCAGGUUGGCACAAAGGCAUCUUUCCAAUGUGCAUGUGCAGCUAUUUCUUCUGCCAUUGGUAGGUGGAGAACCUUGUGCCGGCAACCAUUAGUUGUCUUGGAGAAGGCCUUCCACAAAGAGGUCAAAGAAAGCAAUAAGUCUGCUUGCAUCUCUGCAGCUGUCAUGAUCGAGUAGAAGUCAUGCCUAACACAACAUUGUCCUAAUGCCUAGAGUCUGAGGUUGUGAGAACUCCCAUUCUCAUCCAACACCCUCCUAACUUUUUCUUGUCUUCUUAUAUGAGAUGUUCUUAUUGGCUCUUGAGAAGGUCAAUGGCUGCACCAGAAACACACCCAACUCAUGACGAAUUCAACAAACGUAUUGGAUCUUCCCUUUGCAUGUCCCUAUAUAUAUACAUAUGAUUGGAGUCUGGAAACAGGAUGAGAUAGAACAGAGUGAGGAAAGAAUCACAUGAAUUCUAUGUGCCGGUCAGAAUCGAUUGUUCGAUCAAUUAUUCUCCAUCUACUGUCAUAAAGAAUGCCUACUGAUUAUGUUGCCAAUGUCAUAUCAUUUUGUAUGAUUUGACGAAAUAAUAUCAACCCCAUUUUGUUA